rnacentral:lncRNA from 1 species
CUUUGAGGCCAAAGGCAGAAAAGGAAAUAUCUUCGUUUCAAAACUAGACAGAAUCAUUCCCACAAACUGCGUUGUGAUGUGUUCGUUCAACUCACAGAGUUUAACCUUUCUUUUCAUAGAGCAGUUAGGAGACACUCUGUUUGUAAAGUCUGCAAGUGGAUAUUCAGACCUCUUUGAGGCCUUCAUUGGAAACGGGAUUUCUUCAUAUUCUGCUAGACAGAAGAAUUCUCAGUAACUUCCUUGUGUUGUGUGUAUUCAACUCACAGAGUUGAACGAUCCUUUACACAGAGCAGAUUUGAAACACUCUUUUUGUGUAAUUUGCAAGUGGAGAUUUCAGCCACUUUGAGGUCAAUGGUAGAAAAGGAAAUAUCUUCGUAUAAAAACUAGACAGAAUGAUUCUGAGAAACUCCUUUGUGAUGUGUGUGUUCAUCUCACAGAGUUUAACCUUUCUUUUCAUAG